rnacentral:rRNA from 1 species
CCUGGCUCAGGAUGAACGCUAGCUACAGGCUUAACACAUGCAAGUCGAGGGGCAGCAUGGUCUUAGCUUGCUAAGGCCGAUGGCGACCGGCGCACGGGUGAGUAACACGUAUCCAACCUGCCGUCUACUCUUGGACAGCCUUCUGAAAGGAAGAUUAAUACAAGAUGGCAUCAUGAGUCCGCAUGUUCACAUGAUUAAAGGUAUUCCGGUAGACGAUGGGGAUGCGUUCCAUUAGAUAGUAGGCGGGGUAACGGCCCACCUAGUCUUCGAUGGAUAGGGGUUCUGAGAGGAAGGUCCCCCACAUUGGAACUGAGACACGGUCCAAACUCCUACGGGAGGCAGCAGUGAGGAAUAUUGAUCAAUGGGCGAGAGCCUGAACCAGCCAAGUAGCGUGAAGGAUGACUGCCCUAUGGGUUGUAAACUUCUUUUAUAAAGGAAUAAAGUCGGGUAUGGAUACCCGUUUGCAUGUACUUUAUGAAUAAGGAUCGGCUAACUCCGUGCCAGCAGCCGCGGUAAUACGGAGGAUCCGAGCGUUAUCCGGAUUUAUUGGGUUUAAAGGGAGCGUAGAUGGAUGUUUAAGUCAGUUGUGAUACUUUGCGGCUCAACCGUACUAUUGCAGUUGAUACUGGAUAUCUUGACUGCAGUUGAGGCAGGCGGAAUUCGUGGUGUAGCGGUGAAAUGCUUAGAUAUCACGAAGAACUCCGAUUGCGAAGGCAGCCUGCUAAGCUGCAACUGACAUUGAGGCUCGAAAGUGUGGGUAUCAAACAGGAUUAGAUACCCUGGUAGUCCACACGGUAAACGAUGAAUACUCGCUGUUUGCGAUAUACAGCAAGCGGCCAAGCGAAAGCGUUAAGUAUUCCACCUGGGGAGUACGCCGGCAACGGUGAAACUCAAAGGAAUUGACGGGGGCCCGCACAAGCGGAGGAACAUGUGGUUUAAUUCGAUGAUACGCGAGGAACCUUACCCGGGCUUAAAUUGCAGAUGAAUUACGGUGAAAGCCGUAAGCCGCAAGGCAUCUGUGAAGGUGCUGCAUGGUUGUCGUCAGCUCGUGCCGUGAGGUGUCGGCUUAAGUGCCAUAACGAGCGCAACCCUUGUUGUCAGUUACUAACAGGUUCCGCUGAGGACUCUGACAAGACUGCCAUCGUAAGAUGUGAGGAAGGUGGGGAUGACGUCAAAUCAGCACGGCCCUUACGUCCGGGGCUACACACGUGUUACAAUGGGGGGUACAGAGGGCCGCUACCACGCGAGUGGAUGCCAAUCCCCAAAACCUCUCUCAGUUCGGACUGGAGUCUGCAACCCGACUCCACGAAGCUGGAUUCGCUAGUAAUCGCGCAUCAGCCACGGCGCGGUGAAUACGUUCCCGGGCCUUGUACACACCGCC